rnacentral:rRNA from 1 species
CGUGUUCAAGACUCUGGAUGGGUAGGGGAGCGUCGUGUCGCGAGUGAAGCCUCGGAGUGAUCCAGGGGUGGACGCGACACGAGUGAGAAUGCAGGCAUGAGUAGCGAAUGAGGAGUGAGAAACUCCUCCGCCGAAUGAUCAAGGGUUCCAGGGUCAAGCUAAUCUGCCCUGGGUAAGUCGGGACCUAAGGCGAGGCCGACAGGCGUAGUCGAUGGACAACGGGUUGAUAUUCCCGUACCCGUGUAUCC